GACGAACGCUGGCGGCGUGCCUAAUACAUGCAAGUCGAGCGGACUUUCAAGAAGCUUGCUUUUUGAAAGUUAGCGGCGGACGGGUGAGUAACACGUGGGCAACCUGCCUGCAAGACGGGGAUAACUCCGGGAAACCGGGGCUAAUACCGGAUAAUAUCUUCCUUCGCAUGGAUGAAGGUUGAAAGACGGCCCAGCCUGCCGCUUUCGGUUGGGCCCGCGGCGCAUUAGCUAGUUGUGGAGGUAAGGGCUCACCAAGGCGAACUUGCUUAGCCGACCUGAGAGGGGGAUUGGCCACACUGGGACCGAGGACACGCUCCGACUUCUACGGGAAGCAGGCGGAGGGAAUCCUUCGGAAUGGGCGAAAGUCUGAAGGAGGAAAGCCGGGGGAGCGAAGAAGGGCCUCGGAACGGAAAGCUCUGUUGUCAGGGAAGAAAAAGUACCGUUCGAAAAGGGCGGUACCUUGACGGUACCUGACCAGAAAGCCACGGCUAACUACGUG
rnacentral:rRNA from 1 species